AUGCCUUCAUAAGUGCAGUGCUACUGGGGACGCGCAGUCCUGUUUUUUCGCGAUAAUUUUCGUCUCUUUUGUGUCGUUAUUUGUGUGCAUGGGGUGAUUGGUCAUAAUAAUUGAAUAAUGCCUUCAUAAUUGCAGUGCUUCUGGGGACGCGCAGUCCGGUUUUUUCGCGAUAAUUUUCGUCGUAAAUGAUCGUGAAAAUUUAUUCCAACUUUCAGUUUUAGUAUUAACUCAUCAAACUAUCGAUUUUAUGAAAAGUAAAGCGUCAUUUAUUUACUAUUUUUGAAAUUUGCUCGCGUUAUCUAAAUUGUAAAAACAGUAAAAUCAUACUGAUAAGUCCAGCCCAUAGCACUAAUGCUCGGCUGGCACGCGUUCGAUAAAAAUAAACCAUUUUAAAUAAUCAAUUAUCUAUCUUUCCGCAGCCGGCUGCCUAAGAUUUAAAAAUUUCAACCGAUAAACAAAAUGCUCAUGGUCACAUCACUGCCACUCGUGAAUCCUGACCUCAUACCCAUCUACUAACCCCCUCAAAACUCAUGUGAUACUUUGUCGGAGAAGCAGUCGAUUGGGCGGUCUCUAUCACUCAAGUAUCGGACUAACAUUCCCAUCCACUUCCCCGUGACCCUACCACUGGUCGUGGCCGGCGUCGGUAUUGAUCAGCAUGAUAGGGGCCUUUGAGAAGUUGCGAAGCGAGGAAAGAUAGCACCCACUCAUCUUCCACGGCUCGUGGAUGUAACUUCUGGAGGUCCUGGUCAAUAACGGAGUAGCAACUGCGGGUGGGCACCUAUGCUUAGAGCAACCUUACCAGCGUGAGUAUUAGGCCGGUUUUAGGGUUUUGUAACGCGUGUUAGUAACUUUGCUCCCACACCGGUCGUUGCCAAAUGCGUUGCUAAACUAAAACGUAACGCCCCGGUUGGGAGCGAGUUACCAAAUUUGGCAACGCGCUAGCAACGCAACUAAAACUUUGAACUGUCAAACUUCAAAACAAGACAUCAGUAGAUUUGCGUUCGAAUGUUGGUUUUUUAUGUUUUUUUUUUUAAUUUACGUUGAUCGUUCCGGGUUGAAGUGUCCUCGCCGCGAAAAGUAAUUGAUUUGCCAAAAGAGUACAGUGAAAAUAGCUCGUCUGCGAUGUCGGUGGUCCCGGUGUCUGGAUUGGGAACCUGCAAAAGGAGUGUCCUUCGGCGAUGUAAAACGGGUAUGGGGGCCCUUCCGGAAGAGGAACCGAUACUAUUUGCACCAACAAACAAGCUUCAGUACCAAGUCUAUCAUCAACCCGCAACCCUGCUCGGUCAACUUCUCGGCAUGCCUCCAUCAAGGAAGUCUACCCUGUGACACAGGUGACGGUUUCGGCGUAACAAAAUAGUGGCGUACCCCAAUAUGUAGCUGGCCGGAGCCGGAGCGGUCCGAAAAACGGCCUAAAAGACAAUCUGCGUGCCAUCACUUGUGGAACUCCUCCUGCUGGGUAGACGGAAACUGAUCGGUAUCACAUGUCGCUGCGACCUCAUACCGGACGUGGACGCCACUUCUAUCAAAAGCAUCAUCUUGAUCCGGAACGACGGAAUAAGCUUCUUUUUGCAGAAAUAUGGAACGUUAUUAUCUUAUUUUCGCGGACAUCCUGCUCAUCCUAGUUGGGCCUUGCCCAAGGACUAUAGCGAGCAAGCCGUUUGUAAAAAAAAAUCACAAAUUUUGCACUUCAACAUCAUGGAACUUGAAAAUCAUAUGAUAUUAAAAAUAAAUAAUCGUAAAAUUGACGAAAAACUGAAAAGUUUACACAUCUUAAAGUCACAAU